ensembl:snRNA U6 U6 spliceosomal RNA
GCUCGCUUUGGCGGCACAUAUACUAAACUCGGAAUGAUACAGAGAAGAUUAGCAUGGCCUCUGCGCAAGAAUGACAUGCAAAUUUGUGAAGUGGUCCACGUAAAA